rnacentral:rRNA from 1 species
AGCGAACGCUGGCGGCAGGCUUAACACAUGCAAGUCGAGCGGGCGUAGCAAUACGUCAGCGGCAGACGGGUGAGUAACGCGUGGGAACAUACCUUUUGGUUCGGAACAACACAGGGAAACUUGUGCUAAUACCGGAUAAGCCCUUACGGGGAAAGAUUUAUCGCCGAAAGAUUGGCCCGCGUCUGAUUAGCUAGUUGGUGAGGUAAUGGCUCACCAAGGCGACGAUCAGUAGCGGUCUGAGAGGAUGAUCAGCCACAUUGGGACUGAGACACGGCCCAAACUCCUACGGGAGGCAGCAGUGGGGAAUAUUGGACAAUGGGCGCAAGCCUGAUCCAGCCAUGCCGCGUGAGUGAUGAAGGCCCUAGGGUUGUAAAGCUCUUUUGUGCGGGAAGAUAAUGACGGUACCGCAAGAAUAA